GCGUGUGUGUAUGUAUUUUGAUAUGCGUCGUGUGUGUGUGUAUGGUUGUACUUUUGAGUACGGAUUUAUAUCGGGAACUUUGACGUGCAUAUUAAAUAAAUAACUUCGUCUUAACUUGGUCUGUAAUCAAUCAUGGACUUGGUUGAUAAACUUGAAGAACAAGAUAUAGAAGCAGCGGUCAAGAAGCCAGUUUUCUCAAGGCAUGCAACAUGCAAGAGAUCCGCUCACGUUGACGACAGGUCGCAAGGAAGAAGAAGGAGAAGCCGCCAUUUAUAUAUGCAUCAUGCCAACACACCCACACACUGCACACAGCGUGUAUUGAUUGAUGAAAGGCAAUGAGUGAAUGACACUUUUGUAAACAAAUGAUUUGCACCGGCCGAAUAUUCGAUGUAAUCAGUUGGUGAUAGUUGGUGCGUACUGUGUUGACAUCAUGAAAUCAAAAAUGGGUCACAUGGCAGCCUGACUGUGCAAGGGAAACAUUCCACGUUUAGGAGGAAGGAAGUUCAUUCCACCCCUACCCCUUAGCUGCUGUAAAAACUGUGAAAGUUUGAUCUCCUGCCUUACUGCGAGUCAUGGGAAAAGUUAGCCGAGAUGGAUCAGCAUUGGAGUGAAGAUUUGUACGCAAAAACUGAUACAACUCAAGACACUCAUUAAAUUACUCUGGUGCCUGAUUUAGAAAGAAAUUUUCAUACAAAUAAAAUAAUCUUAAUUGCAAUCCUCUGUUUAAUUGGUAACCAAUGAAGCGAUCUUAGAAGGAGCAUGGCAUCAUGACGGCGAUUUAACCUAAAUAUAACACGAGCAGCCCAGUUCUGCAAACUGUGAAGUCUCUUUUAAAAUAUGCAUGUGGGAUUUCUGUAAGCAGCCCAUUACAACAAUCUAACCGAGAAAUAAUAUGGCUGUGAAUCACAUGAUGUUAAGAUGUUAUGUAUCGUCAGAUACAUACUUCCUAAUCUGUGACUCCUGAAAUCGAACAGACUUACAAAGCUGGAGCCGAUUUCACGAAACGUUAAUCUUAGGGUUUGCAUGUUACGGUGCAAGGCUGGGACUCAACUCAAGUCGUAAGAUUAACACAAUUUGGAAAGAGUUUGGCGAAAUCGAAAGCAGGUCUAUUUGAUCAGUCAUAGACAAUUCAAUCAAAAUAUGCACCAAGGUUCUUGACUGAUGUGGAUGGUGCAUUCUGAAUGGUUCCAAAUGUAAGAAUGACAUUCAUACUGUGCAAUUACCAACAAUUAUUUUGCUCAUUUUAGUUAAAAUUUAUUCUUUCCAAUCCAAAUACUUAAAUAUCCAAAGCACAGUCUGAGAGGGUUUGAUAAUGUAUAAAGGCUAGGCGGUUGUGCAACAUAGGUAGAAAACCCGUUUAAAAUGUUCAUUCAAGUUGGUUUUCCCCUAUCCACCACUGUUUACAUUUCUUUACGGUCUUCUAGCGGUCUCCACCCGAAGGUCCGUUAGUCCGAAGGUUCAAUAGUCCGAAGGUUCGAUUGUCUGAACGCACAAAUUUCCCAGAACAGGGGGUUCAUUAGUCCCAAAAUGAAGUAGGUUUCAUUAACCUGUACAUUCAAUACGAUAGUCCGAAGGUUCAUUGAUCCGAAGGUUCACUGGUCCGAAUAAGGUCUGAUAGUCCGAAUCGAUGAUCAAACCUUAUUGUCAAUUCGGACUUUCUGACCUUAUUGUCAAUUCGGACUAUCGGACCUUGUUGUCAAUUCAGACUAUCGGACCUUAUUGUCAAUUUGGACUAUCGAACCUUCAGACUAUUGAACCUUCGGACCAUCGAGCUGUAACCCUUCUAGCACUCGCCUAGUUUGUAAAUUGUUUAAAGUGUUUUGUAAUAAACAGGUUUUGAAAAAUCCGUGGUCAACUACUCACUAUGUUUAUAUAGCAACCUGGAGGUGCAAGGGAAACACUCCACAUUUUCUUUAUUUACAGUUUCUACCAUCAAUAUCCAUUAGUCUGAAGGUAUUUUCAUUGUUUAUUGCUCAAUUUAAUUUAUUUAUUUCAACCACUGGUUUGCUUUUGUUGAUCGAUUUAUCAAUAAAUAUAUUUCUUGUUUUUUGUUUGAGGCAAACUA